GGCCAGACUCCUACGGGAGGCAGCAGUGGGGAAUAUUGGGCAAUGGGCGCAAGCCUGACCCAGCAACGCCGCGUGAAGGAAGAAGGCCCUCGGGUUGUAAACUUCUUUUAACAGGGACGAAGAAAGUGACGGUACCUGUUGAAUAAGCCACGGCUAACUACGUGCCAGCAGCCGCGGUAAUACGUAGGGAGCAAGCGUUGUCCGGAAUUACUGGGCGUAAAGGGCGCGUAGGUGGGUGCUUAAGUCAGGUGUGAAAACUCUGGGCUCAACCUGGAGACUGCACUUGAAACUGGGUAUCUUGAGGGCAGGAGAGGAAAGUGGAAUUCCUAGUGUAGCGGUGAAAUGCGUAGAUAUUAGGAGGAACACCAGUGGCGAAGGCGACUUUCUGGACUGUACCUGACGCUGAGGCGCGAAAGCGUGGGUAGCGAACGGGAUUAGAUACCCCCGUAC
rnacentral:rRNA from 1 species